CAAACUUCCGUUUACCUCUUCUCCCAAUAAUCACCUAGUCUCCUCUCACAAUGAUAAAGUAACAAAUAAUAAGAGAUGAUCAAGUAGAGUUUUGAUCCGGUCAGGUGCAAAAUCAUAAUUUAACACUAUCCAUGUUUUCUAUCAAGGAGUUAGUAAUGUAGCAAUUUUGUAAUAUCAUUUGAUCUGUGAAAAAAAAAUCCACAGUACUGCCCUUCUCUGUGGUAAAAACCUGGAAUAGAUUCAAAAUCUUUUCUGAAAGUAUUUGUCCCGUACUUCAUCACGUGUCUUGAGAUGUGAUGGUUGUAACUUGCCCUGACAAUCGACCAUGACAUCUAAAUGAAUAGUAAAUUUUUAAUAUUCUUGUGAUAAUUUAAUAGAAAUAACGGAGGAUAAUUAAGAGGGGUCGUGUAAGUUGAGACGAAGAAAGAAUGUAUAUUUGAUAUUUAUUUAUCAAUGGCAUUUGAUCGAACUAACCCCCAACUGCUGUUCUUGCUGUAUUUUGGAUGGAAAUAUGAUUGAGUGAUGCCACGUGAGAUUAUUAACUCUUGAAAUUGCCACAAAAUGUUUCAAAGUUAACAAUUUUGUAGUAAUCAACAUUUUUCACUUUGAUAUGUAUUAAGUAUUAACCAAUCUAUGAGACUCACUGCUUAGAUUUCUAAUAUCAAGAGUUUAUGGAAAAAAAUCCCUAUAUAAAAAUCAAUUAAAGGGGCACUAAUUUUUUUUUAUUUUCCUUUUAUUGUUUACUCCGUCCGUCCCAGCCAAUAGUAUACAUUGGGGGACGGGGGGCACGGAUUUUAAUGCUUCAAUAUAAUAUAGUUCUGUACCUUAUUUUUAAGAUUUUUUUUUUGUAUAAAAGUAUAACAUUUAUAUUUUUAUACAAAAAAAGAAAUUUUUAAAAAUAAAUUGUGAAACUAUGUUUUAUAAGAGCCUUAAAAAGCUUGUAGAGCAGUGAAAAAGAAACGUAUACAAUUGAAUGGGACGGAGGGAGUAUUAGAUUUAGAUUAUUUUUUAGGACCCGGCGAGGGUAGCAUUAUGUUGUUUUGUAAAGACCGUGUCCAAACAUAACAAAAGGGCCUUCAAAACUUUUUAUGAAUCGGUAGACACUAAUCAGGACGAGUACAACAUCGUAUGUGCAGUAAAGCGGCCGCAGCGAUUUGAACCAAGCCACGGUGAAUCUAAGAAGUCCAACCACCAUUGCUUAAUUCCGAACUUUAAAGGUCAUAUCAACUCUCUCUUGCAUCUGAUGUGUUAGAUGUUGCAUCUAUUGUAUUCGAUCUAGUUAAGACUAAUAAUUAUGUGAAUUUAUGUUUUUAUGGUGAUUUAUUAUGUAAUCUUUGUUCAAGAUUAACGGAGCAUUCAAUGUGUUCUUCACUACGAUCUACUAUUGGCAGAAUUAAGAAUUAUAGGCGAUAACUUAGAAGUUAGAACCCUAGAUCUGAAUUUGUUUAUUUCUUUACAGUAGCUUGGCAUUUAGAGAUAAAAGUUUUGAAGAUGCCAUUUGGCAACAGAGUUCACCGUUUAAUAUGUUAAGCUACUUUGUAUUGUGAUUGAGUGUCUAAACAAGUUGUGUCCAAGGUCGUGAAGAUGCAAAAUUUAUGUUGAAACUAAGUGAAUAAUUGAGUUGAACUAUCGUUUUUUUAUUAUUAAAAAUUAAAAGUCAAGCAUCCUCGCGACCUCCCCGUUUUUGUUCCCCAAGCCCAUAGCACAAUACACAUUGGACCUACAACCUUGUCACCGCGACUGGUCAGCCAAAAGGGGCUAGCAACCAAUAUAGCUAUAGGUUUAUUACUAUUCACCCAUCCUUACAAAGGCAUUCAUCGAUGUAGGAUGUCAAAGACACCUCAACUUAUUGGAUCGACAUCAUCGUGAAGCUCACAAAAACACUAGCAAAUAUUUGGCAGUGUGCAAGAAAGAACCUCAUUCCAGAUCGGCGCUGGUACCACUUAUAGUGCUUCAAGCCGACAACCCAAUGUAUACCAGACCGUUCAACAACCCACACAAGUUUGCCCAAAGGAGCUAGUAAUUUUAGUAUACAUUAUUAGUUGUUGACUUGUCCCAAACAAAAUGCAUAGCCAUACUGGCUCCCAAGUAAACACCCUUUCAAUUCGAUACUUAACUGGCUAUUGUGGUAAGACAGAAAUUAAGAUAGUUUUGGAUUUGAAGAGGAACCUUAUUAAACCAGUGGUGGUCAGCACUGAGCGCAUUGCUAUAAUGUUUCUCAGCUACCGUGAAAUUUUGAAGAUCGACUGGAUCAGAAGUCCAAGUUUACUAUUAACUAGAAACAAUAAAAAUAGAGUAAUGAGAACUAAGAUUGAUAACAAUGGAGAUCUACUUGGAGUUUAGACACUCAUGCUAAGUAGCUAUUUUCUCGACUGGUGUUUUUUUUGUAUAUGAGCAUCUGGUCGGUUUUCAUAUCUCCUAUAUUAUGUUUAAUUGAUCUUGAACACUUCCUCUUUCACAGAAUCAUUUCUUCUUCUGCAACUAUGCCUAAAAGGCCUAGGCUCACGGUUUUUGAUAAAGACCUGAAACCUGCACAGAGAACCAUUCCUGACACUUCACUUCUACAUAAUUUAGGGAAUCACCUCUCAGUGUAUGCUAGAGCGGGACGGGUGAGGCAUAUUGCAUUAUUAUUCUUCAUGUCCAUCACUUAUCUUUUUUUUAUGUAGAAACAUAAUUGUUGGUCUUCUAACAUGUAGGGGCCCCCUACGCAAAAUCUUAAUUGUCGAGGUGCGUGGCGUACUGCAUUAAAGCUGUAUCGUGUCUCACAUUACAAGUACAAGGAACUUUUUAUUGCCGCUGGUUUUGGAGAUUUUCUCGAGAUCGAACCGGUGGACCUUCCAGUAGCUUACAGUUUGGCUUUGAUGGAGAGGUGGUUCAGCGAGACCAACACCCUACACUUACCCUGUGGUGAGAUUGGUCCAACUCCUGUGGACUGGACCAUGGUUACUGGCCUGCGUUUUGGAGGUAAAUGCAUUGGAGUCAACACCAACUUCUCGAUGGAUAGAGCCCUGUAUCUUCUUGGAAAACCGAAUGCUAAAAAGAACAGUAAGAUCCUCUUGAGUGCGAUAAUACCCAAGGAGGAUGAGGUGCAGGAAGACCCGCUAGAUGAUGACACAAAGGAAAAAGUUUUCCGUCGUUUGUUCCUUUAUGUUGUUAGCAGUUGUUUCUUUAGCAACGACCAUUCGACAAUUAGUCAUAAGCUCGUAGAGUGUCUGGAAAGAGUAGAUGAAGCGGGAAAUUAUGAUUGGGGAGCAAUCACAUUUUCAGCCUUUCUUAGUGGAAUGAGAAGAAAGGUCACUGCAGAGACAGGAGCUUUUACAGCAUUCUGGCAGUUUCUUACGGUACAUGUUGUCUUUGGACUGUAUCAUCUGUGGUUCUUUUUGAUCAAUGAUAAUAUAUUGUAUGUCAAUUUCAUUUUAUUUUCUUGCUCCAGUAUUGGGCUUUUGAGUAUUUGGAUAUAAAUCGUCCAAAGGCUCGUCGAGGCAAUGUCUUUCCGAGGGCAAAGCGCUGGAUUUGUCCAGAAACAUCUACCGAGAAUGCGAAUCCACACUUCUUUGGUCCACAGUUUAUUGCUUGCCGCUGUCAACUGAACUAUGUUGAGGAGUCCCAGGUUGGUCUAACCAUUUCUCAUCUGGUAUCUGGUUUUUACCUGUUCUUUUUCUAAAUAUCUGGUGUUUACUUCUGCUAUAUGUUUCUCUAUAUUUUCUUCUUCUUUUUCAGGUUACCUGGGUACCUUACCCUGAAAAAUGUUACCCACCUGCCAUGCUGCCCACUAUCAAGCUCGCAAAGAAAAGGAUCCCAUUUCGGAGCAUUGAAACCUGGGAAUACUAUCUCGGGGAGAGAUGUCUACGGCAGUUGAGUUCCCCUCGUCAAGUUCCCAAAGAUCCUCCACAGAUUAUGCAUGGAACAGGGGAAGGUCAGAAUGAUGUUAAAUGGAAGGGGAUUCCAGCUGAAGAUCUAGUUGAUCGGAGUCUUGAAUACCCGUCUUGGUUUGCAAAUGCAUCAAUUGGGAGAAUCCUUAACGUGAACCCAUUUCUUGGUGGACUUAACCUUGCAGAGAAGCUUUUAAGCCAGUGGAUGGUGGGUUAUACAUAUAUAUAUAUGUAUGUGUGUGUGUGUGUGUGUGUGUGUGUGUGUGUGUGUGUGUGUGAAGUUAUCAUAUGCUUGUUUGAAUCAGUCUUUUUGGCUUAUUAUUUUGUUUUUUUAGGAGAAGCACCAGCCUGAUUUGAUCCCUAUCAGUCAAGCUGAAUAUAUCAAAAUGAAAGAGGACCGUAAUGCUUUGGAAGAAGAGUGUGCAAAGCUUCGAGAAGAGCUGGUAAGAUUUCAAUCCUUCUUUGUAUUUACUGUUCUAGUGUUGUAACAUUAACCCUUGUUCCUUGAAAAGUAUGGUCUGAAGAAAGUUACGGUUAUACCUUUCAGUCUCGAGCUAAAGAAGCUAAAUCUUCCCAAGGUUAGGCGUAUCUCUGAACAAGCUUUGGCUACUUUCUCUUGGUUUCUAGCUAUCUACUAUGUUCCAGAGGUUUGAUGUCCUUGAUGACCGUUACUCAAAGAUUUCAUUCCAUGUAAUGUUUAGAACUUGAAUCCUUAUAUGUGAGGGGCCUUGUUUUACAACUCGAAGCCCCAUAGUGUAAUAUUGGAGCCUUUGGUAUUUUUGCAGCUACUCAAGUAUAUUUCAGCUACAUCUUAUAUACAGUAGUUUAUCAAUCUGAUUUUAGUGCCAUAUGUUUAAUGAGAGGAAGAAUCAAUACUAAAUAUACUUAAAAAGUAUGUAUAUAAAUCAUAGUUACUUUAUAAUUUUUUUACACUAAUUUUUUCCCAAAUAAUAUGAAUAUUUAGUUUCAAAAAACUAACUUUAUUAAUUCUCAAACGACCGCUUAAUUUCAUUUAAAGCAAAACUAUUUCAAAAGGAAAAUAAUCGUCAUCUCCCCCUCUGCCCACACUUGAAGUUGAAGGCAACAGCCCAAGUNGAAAGAGUGCACAUUGAUAGCAACUUCGUAAAUAAGAGGUGCAAACUGUAUUUGUUUAUAAGUUUACAUACAAAAAUGUAUUGAAGAAAAGUUAUGUUUGAGAUUGAGUUGUAAUGCUGCAACAAAUCAAUCAAAACUGGGGGGAGUUACAAUGAUAACUAUGUUAAGGUAUACUACAUGAAUUUGUAGUGUACAGGGGGAGGACUGUCAGGAUAGGACUUAACUGGAGCUAGUAAUAUCAGGCACAACACAAGUUUUGCAUGCCUAGAGAUCUAACACCUUGUCUUUCAUUUUACUGGUAAACUGGCAAUGCAAUGCAUUUAGAUUUCGAGAUAUGAAGAGCACUGCGCAUCAAAGAUCAAGCACCUGAAUUCAAAUGAAUCUGGAAAUAGUAUGCAAAAGCUAAAGCGCAUAACAGUCAGAUUAAAAUCAAAUGAGCAGGUGAUGAAGAUGACAUUUAGGAGUGGUAGUUAUUAGAUCACAGCUGAAUUGUACACGAAGACAGAAAGCUGUCCAAAACAUCACACUUGCGUUCUUGUGAGACAUCUCCAUUGUCCUAUGGAGGGUCCUUUUUCUAGAAGCAUUAACAAUCCCACGUUGUUGGGAGACAUCCUGCACAUAUACCUGAAGAUUGUAUUCCAGCAAAACAUAGAUUAGAAACACAGUAAAGCUCAAUGCCCUAUAAAUCUGAUCUUAACCCUGCCAAUUAGACCACACAAAAACUUCAUAGCAUUACAACAAUGAUACUGAACACUUGCAACAUCUCUCUUUGUUUAGAUUGUUUACUUUAUAGCAUCAAGGUAAAUCAAGCAAUUCCCAUAGCCUGGCUUAUUGGCUAUAUCCAGAUUGAUAACAUCAUCAAAAUUGUUCCGACAUGACACGCUGUCCAUGCAUUUCUUUUUUGUUUCCAUAUCCCAACCCUCCAGAAUCUGUGGUUCAGUAAAUAUUUUGGACUCAACGGGGUGAGAUUUAUGCUUGUUUCAGUCAUUUAGAUGAGACCCCGUUUAUAACAAUAGUGAAGAAGGUGUAAUAAUAUCAGAUAAUAAAGUCAGAACUUAAUACUCAACCCCUUUGAAUUUUAAAACUUUAAACAGUGAUCAAGUUCUUCAGCUUGCAGAAAUUUUUAACCCACUUCAUUAAAAGUAAUAAAAUGAUGUUGUAUAUUACGUAUAAACAAUUAGUAAGUGUAGAAAUUGUAAAUAGAAAUGAGAGAUGUUAAAGAAAAUUAUAUCAAACUAAAUGCUUACCUGCUUCGACUGGCUUUCUUUUUCCAGAAGAUGAAUGAUGCGGCCAACUGCACAAAUUAAAAGGUAGAGUCAGGCAAAUUGCACAAUUCUGUUCAGAUUCAAGAACCUGUAUAUAAUUUGACUGAGUAUGGACAUCAAUAGUUGAGAACUGCAACAUGUUAAGGUCUUAUCAACAACACAAAGAAAGAUGGAAACAUAUUGAAACUUCAGCGAAAACUUAUAUUUGCAUGUCAGAUGAUAGAUGUGAAGGAGAAAAACUUUUAACAGCUUAAGAAACCUUCAAACUACCUUGAAUAUAGACAUGAUGGAAAACUUUCCACCUACUGAUGACUUUCUCACUUCCACUCUUGCAGGUGACUUAUCUUUACAGAAUUGUUGAGCUAUCUCCUUCAAUAAUAAGAGCUGUGCCUUGUCCGUUCGCAUAGAUAUCAGUGCCUGCCUCAUAGAUUCUCUGUCAGCUUCAAGUGCCUGAAGUCUCAAGUAGAGCUUCUUGAUCUCAGAUGUCCCUGCAUCUGCUGUAUUCGGUGACUCCAUUGGUGUGGUCGUAUAGUCUUCACAAAUCCUAAUAGAAACUUCAGCAUCCCUGGCGUCAACAGAGGAUACCUCAUGAACGGAAUCUAUGGUGUAUACUCUAUCACUCAUGUCAUCUCCAACUUCGGAUGCAUUGUCCACCUUUUUCAAAUUAGAGAGUCUUUCUGAAUUUAUGCUAUCAAAUUUUUUAACACUGUCAAACUUUGGAGAAUCAUCAGCAACUUCAGAACCUGUCUCUUUAACUGUUGCAAAAUGCAAACUUGAGCUGUCGGAAGAGAACCUCGUAAUAUGUCUGCUUCGCCUAGGAGAACGACCAACUAUCACUUUUUCAAAUACAGUUUUGGUACCAUAAAAAUCAACCUCAGUCCUUGGACUCUUUUCCAAGUCAUUGAUCCGAUUCUCCAGAUCUUUUAAAUGCUCCCGAGACGACGGCGUGUCGCAUAAGGCAUAUUUCUCCACAUCAAAUAAAUCACCCUCAACUUCACUUAAAGCUUCAUCAGCACUUGAAUUGCACUUGAUGGCAGGGUAGUCGUAGGUGGGAGUUUCAUUCUGUAAAUCUAGGCUUUCCUCCACACGGUUUAGGGCAGCUUCGCCUUUUUCUCCCACUGCCGCUGCCUCCUCCUCCGUAAGACCGAAACUCAUCAACCUGUCUUUAUAGGCCCGAAUCUCACACGUAAGAGCUUGUAUGGUUUGCUCUCUCUUAUACACCAAAUCCUCCAAGGCACCGAUCUCAUGAGAAUCAUGUGCCAUCCUCUCCUCCGCAAAGCGUUUAAAUUGGCGAGCCUCCAUCUGAAUCUCUGCCUUCUCCUUUUGCAACCUCAAAAUCAUGGACAUGGCCUCAUUAGCAGCUGUUGAAGCUGCAUUUCUCUCCUCUUCCAGUUCAAUAGAAAGAUCCACAAUGGAAAUCUGCUGGUUGCUGACCAUUUCACGCAACGCAACACAUUCAUUCGACAUCUCAACCCUGGCAACCUGAGAAACAUCGACUAACCUGUUCCCUUCCUCAAGUUCACGGAGUUUACGCUUAACAGGGGUGCUAAGCUGCCUCGUUCCAGAAUCAGACUGCUUCGCGGUUGCACAAUUACAAAUAUCACAAUCACAAUCACAAGGACAAUCUUCAUAGCUGUUUAACGAUUGAUCUUCUCGAGAACUCGUAGCCAUAUAUGGCAUCAAAAUAUGCAACUGCUUCCAAUCAAUAACAGCAAGAGAUAAACAAACAAGUCCCAAGCCCUCCCCCUAUUAUAUGCUACACAAUUCUAGAAAAUGCAAGUAAUUUUUUUUAUUUUUUAUUUUUUGAAAAAGAAAGAAAAGAUUAAACGGUCCUCAAUCGCAGCGAAGAAUCAACAAGUCGAAUACCCUCAGGAUCAAUGAAUCACAUACGACUCCUACAAUAAAUUGAAGAAAUCAAGCGCGCAUUUAUAGCAAUUGCAUGAAGAAGGUGAUAUAAAUGUGAGUAAAUGAUUACGUUACCUUAAGGGUGCCGUAGGAAAUUCAAAGGGAGUGAGGGUGCUCCCUCUCAGGAAGGAAUUGAUGGAAUUCCCCGGGAAAGCAUUUCCUCGGAGAUGAUGAUGUUGGUAAUUCCUGGAGAGAGAGCACCUGAUUGCUGGGUGGCGAGACAGAAAACAGAGAGAGGAUCAAAGACGCUUCUCUCUAAGUUCGGUAUUGCCGCAAAACAGGGAGAUUUUCUCGCGGGAGAUAUGAGAGAGAGAGAGAGAGAGAGAGAGAGAGUUUAUUUGGGGAAAUCCUAGAUUGUAGUAUAUAUUGUGUGCGUUUCGGUUUCGCUGCACCUAAUUCUAAAACUGCAGUAGCAGAGGGAGAGGGGGAGAGAGAGAGAGAAUGAGCUUUUGUGAAUUCUCGGGAGCGGGAAUUGUGUGUCAGUUACAGUUAAUUAGUUAGAACCUUUCCGUAAAUGACGUCUCAUUUUCUUCUUUGUAACCUAAUUUAUAUCGUUUAAUUAAUAUUUAAAUUUGAUUUUAUUCAUUUUUGAGCUGAAUAAUUCAUAGAGUUUGCCUCAUUUAUCUAAAGAAUUACAUUUUAUAGAUUCACGUCAAGUUUUCAUGAAUAUAAAAUUAAUUAAUUAAUAUUUCAAAAAAUAAUUUAUUUUUAUCUAGUUUAAUUUGUUUAAUUUUUUGAUACAUUUAUUAAAAUUUUAAUUUGAAUAAUCUAUUUAGCGACUACAAUAACUAGGAGCGUUUGUCAACUUACAAUAUCAAGCAGACUGGGUUGUGUAAUUUGUACUGCUAAGCUUCAACUAGUGCCUGACGGUAGCCUAACUUUAAUUAUAAUCAUUGCAUUGCAACCAUCAUUACCAAAAAAUUAUGUUAUCCAAUCUUUACAACUUUCAUAGCAAAAAGGGUCAGCAUGGUGUGUGUACCCUGGUUGGCAUUAGCAGCCUUCUAAUGAUUCAAGAUGCAGUCUAAUAGACUAAUAGUUACCUCAUUACAUCUUCAAAAGCUUCCAGCAAACAGGAAUCUCAACAAACAAUUGAAAAUGAAACAACAUUCUUCCAAGUUACAAUGUGCUACACUGAGCUAACAAAGAUGACAAAACGCUUAGACCAGAAUCAGUGUUUCUUUAUCUAGCCAAACAAGAGUUCUGAAUCUUGUUUAUCUUGAAACAAAUUGUCAAACAGGUGAAAGAGAUGCAGUAUACGAGUCAUUGCAGUAUUUCAAGCCUUUUAGAAAGGCAGAACUCAGUAGAGGUGAAAUUACGGCGUGUGGUACCCCAAAACUGAAGCUGGUUUCUUGUAAACCAUCCUUGUCUGUGACUUCAGUAUUGUAUUUCCCUAAAACAGCCUCAAGACCAACAUUUAAGCCAGUAGAUGUGGGUUGAGUCGAAAAACUGCAAAUCACCAAAAUACUUAAAUCAGCACUAGAACAAUACAGCAAUCCAUACUAUAAUGGCUCUGCACAUUAGUAGACCUAGACUUAGCAACUAGGCAAGGGUAAUCAAUUUUGAAUGCCGUCAUACUGAGAUUACCAGAACAUUAAAAAAAAUACAGCAACCAAAAAGAUGAAAGAACAUCACUCCAGAAUGCUGUUUGCUUUAUAUUGAUGCCAGAAACAAGCAUAAACAGUAAGAUAAGAUCCCAAAUACUCCCUCCAGCUCAUAUCAUAUGUCUUAUUUUGACUAGUGAAAAGUCAAACCGACUAAACUUCAACCGCAAAUUAUACAUAUUAUCCAACUUAAAAAAAUUAAAAAACUUAUUUUAUUAGAAAAUAUAUCUAAUUCCCUUCAAAAUCCAUUUUUCAUAUUUUAAAAUAAUUAAUAAAUUUUCUUUAACUAAUGGUCAAAUUGACCACCUAACAGUCAAAAGAGGACUCAUAAUAUGAGAUGGAGGGAGUAACUGAGAAGCAUCAAGGAGACGAGACAGGAAUAUAAUGGUUGGUUAUCCCAAAUCUCAUUGAAAUUACCUUGAUUCAUAGCUAUUCUCUUCAGAGUCCAAAAUAUCACAUAUGCUGCUGAUUAUCCAUGGUGGCAGAUACGAGUCUUUAAUUUCAAUGCUAUAGCAGAAUCCAGAAGCUGCGCCUUGAUUGAGUUCGCCAGGCAUUUUCUUCUCUGAAGGAACAGCCACAUGAUCAGCCCUUCUUACCUCUUUGCACCUAAUCUGCACAAUACAGGUGAACCAUUAUCUUAAGCAGGGUAUAUCUAUUAAUGAUAUGUGCAGCAUUUAAGCUUCAAAGAUACGGACUACUGUUUGUUGAUUUAAUUACACAUGAAAGGAUAGUGUAAAAUGUAUACUAUUAAGUAAACCAUAAUAUUGCAUGAACAAUAAAUUCUCAGUGAUGUGAAAAACAAGCAAUAGUGUUUGGAAUUAUAAUCAUUAUUUCCAACGCUGCAAAGAUGAGACAGACCUCAAGUCCCUGAUCACAUUUCUCUUAAACUUAUUAGUUACUUAUUUUUGACCAACCUCAGGUGCAGAAAUAGAUGCAUUCUCAAAAGGCAGAGGCGCAUACAAUACCGGAACAUCCACACUGGUCAUAGAGAUCAUAAUUGACCUGAAGACAGUCAAAAACAAAUUUGUGACCUGAACAGUGAACCAAAUUAUGGGAUCUUUGAAUGAAUGUGCUGGUACCAUAUACUACCUAUAAUUGAGAAGAAAAUCAUAUAAUCCAUGUACAUUUCCGUUCCCUCUAAAUGCCAGCAAAGAUUGUGGGCUGUUAUCUUCAUCAGAUAAAGAACCCAGACGCCGAGUCUGCAGUUAUUUUAACAGAAGCAAAACCAGUUAAAACAAGGAGAAACAUUAUUAAAUUUUCAGAACUAUCACAGCCAGUGCAGAGAAUCACCCCGCUUUUGGUACAAACUGAGGCAGGUGGUCAGAUAUUUAACCCCGAAAGAUCACACACACAAUGCAACUGAUGUAAAAUGCACCGUGGACUUCACGUUUCCAAAUAUAAAAAUAUGUGGGAAGAAAAUAAUAACAUAUAAACGCACAGAUCUUGACAGUAGCAGGCAAAAACAAGAUCUGUAAACUGUAACUAUUAGAUUUACCAAAAUUACUAUGCAUUCUCCAGUAGAGACCAUUAUAACAUCCAACUUCAUUAAUAUUGAUGGUAAAGUUUUGACUUACGACAUCAACACUUUGAAGAAAAUAAAUUACAUAUUAAAAUCGAAAAAUCUUCAAAAGCUGAUGCUCACGUAUGGUAUGGCUGAGCAUGUAUAAUGGGUACACACACUCAAACACAGGCAACUUCCACUAAAUUAGUUAAUCACUUUACUUGUCUAGUAGUCUCAUUAUAUAUCUCUCCAGCUAUUAAGCCAGAUCGUACAGGAUGUAUUAUACAAUAUAUCGCCUGCACGUCAUUGCAUAGAAACCAAGUAAUGGCCUAACUCAUAACAACUAUUUAUAGUAUCACAUUACAGAAAACAGCAUAGAUCUAUUGUUUUCUAGACAUUUUAGCAUUUCUUAACAAUAUAUGUAUAUCUAUUGUUUACUCCAUGUUGGUUCUAUAUACAACAACCUUGUCAGGAAUGGAAAUUGACCAUUGGAGAUUGGAGAAGCAUUUCAGUACACGUGACAUUGAACAACAUUUAUACACCCCUCCCAUUAAGGUCACUUGAGAAAAAAUACUAUAUGUUGGAGAUAAUUAGAUAGAUUUAAUACCUGACCCAGAUUAUGUCUUUCAAUCUCUGACAGCUCAGCUAGAUCUUCUGCAGUAGCUUGCUCCACUUUAGAAUGAGAAAGAGGCAUAGAGAAACAAACAUCCUACAAUAGAUGUAUAGAUGUUUAAAGCUUACACUAAAUUUGUAGGAAUAAAUACAUGUUGAAAGUGUAGGACUACCAACACAACCCACCAAAAUAUGGAAAGUUAUCUUACAUGUUCUUUCAGCAACGACCUUAAAUUUCUUGUAGACUGAGAUAUAUAGGCAUUGCACGUAACUUUUCCUUCCUUCAAAAUAUUGGCACUGGUAAACAUGACCACAAACUGUGCAGUGCAAACUAGAGUUUGCAAAGACCAAAUAAAAUAGUAUAUCAGCAUAUCUGUUAAUACUUAAUAAUUGUGAACUCUGUUUAUAAAAAAGAAUAAUGUGACCAAACAUAUUCCUAAAACAAUCGGCAAAGUAUAAGAGGCAAUUGUAUUAAUUGCUGACCAUGGAUGUGCAAUUACCUGAACCGCAAAAAUAGAUAACUUAAUUUCAGUGUUCUUAGCACUAAAUUAAAUGGGAUUGGGUAGGGCUAGAUUCUAAAUCACGAUGAAACUAUGUUUAUAGCAAGCUAUAACAAUCAAUACAUAAAGUUACCUAAAAUGAAAGCGGUCUGGGCUUGGAAAUAUAUUAUGAAAAGCAAUGCUAUAGUUAUCUACUCAUGCAAAUAACUACAUCAAUGAACUAUAACUCUGAUCUUUGUGAAAAUUAAUUUAUAUUUCAAAAAAAAAAAAAAAUCUGAAUUUUGACUAUAACAGAAUUUGAGAAUUUUAUGCCAAUACAUAAACGGCCCAGUCAUCUCUCAUUUGUACCAAGUAUCUGGUAAGUUUAGCUAUCGUGCUUGUAAACUGUAAGAUAUUGGCUAUAAUAAGAUACCAGGUAAUCAGUUACCAUUUAUAAGAGAAACUAGCAGCGAGGGCAAGUUUCAAGUAUGUAUUCCUCCCGUAAACAACUUGGAUUCAAAGAGACAACUACCAAGGAAUGUUAUCAUUACCAUAAAAGAUGUUGCACGCAUUCUUUCUCAGCAUGUAGUACAGACUUCGGAAGGAGUCCUCCCAGGCACUCUGCCGUUUGCUCAAGAAAUCCAUUUGCCCUGAACAAAUAACAGAACUAAGUCAUGGAGACAGAGAUAUGAAAUACUUACAAGAUAAAUUCAGAAAUUAAAAAAAUGUAUUAACAAAAAUACUAGUAAUGAUCUAUAAAAUAAUACUUUAAGCUGGGCAGAUAGCAUACCUCCCUCUGUUCCAGCUAAAGCUAAUGCUGAUAUGACAGCAGGCGGUAGAGAAGACUGCGGAUACACCCAGGAAUGUACAGAUUUUAAACUGGUCAUGUGAGUGGUGAUAUUAUUUCCAGUGGAGAGAUUUUGAUCACCAACACUGCCAGUUUGAGACUUAAUCUGGUUCAUUUUACUGAAGGUGCCGCAAGUAAUAGAUCUAUGAUACCUAAAUUAGAGGCAGACAAGAUGUAAUUACUCAAUUUGUGAAAUAUCAAGCAUAAAGUGAACAACUGUAAAAUAAUGAUAAAGCACAACAGAACAGUCACAAACAAGAAUAUAAACAUCAAAAGACCUAGCAAUACCAUAUAAUUAUCAAACCUUGUGUUCACACUAAAUACUAGUAAAAACUUUCAUGAAAGAUGACUAGUUUUCCCCUGAGUCACUGAGUGCCUGAUAAAAGACUCAGGUACAGAGGUGUGCUGAACAUAUCUUGUUGGUACUAAAAUUUAAAGUACGACUCUUCAAUAUAAUAAUUUUAAGCAAAUACUCCAUGAGAGUCCAUCUGACUUGGACUGAGGGUUUAUAAGAAAGUAAAAGGUUUUGAAAUGACAAGAGCAUAUUUUCAUUUUUCAGCACCAAACUAAUCUUGCACUAGAAGGAUUUUGUAACAGUAGGCUUACCUAUUCACAGAGGAUGAUAACACCACCCUCAUAGAAGUUUUCAGUGUCACAUCAAGAGGUAACUUUCGGCCAGGAACACAAACUUCAGAGCAGAACUUUUUUGCAGUAAAAUCACUAGUCCUUCCAAAAGCAUCACCUCUUGAAGCUGAAAUUAUAGGAGGCUCCUGAACCAAUCCUUUAAAAGCUUUAUCCUGUCAUUUGAAACAACGAUAUAAAAACAGAAUUUGUGUGUAUAUCCGAUACGGCGAGACAUACUUUAUUUAAUUCAAGAAAUGCAUACUGAUAGAAGGAACUAUUACCAUAUCAACAACCGAAAGACCUGGUAACUUUCCACUACCCAUUGAUAUCUCCGUAACACUACGAAACGUGUUUUCACUACUUUUUUCGGUAUUGGAAUGAGCUUCUUUCUGAUUAAUAUCUUUGGCGACUGAUCUUGAUGCAAGGAGGUCUUGUGGACUGCAGGACAUCAAGGAAGAUCACAAAAUUAGUAAGGAAAUCAUUUGGUUCAAAAGAAUAAAGCAUAAAGCGUAAAACUAUACUUUGUUAUAUGUGGUCGACUCUCAGCAGUCAAAUCUGAAGGAAUGUGAGAACUUUUGACAUAGUCAACAUCCUCGGAAGGUGUGUAUUCCUAUGAUGAAGGUAAACUGAGUUAGUGUCAGUUUAGUGACAACUGCUUGCAGUAAUUCUAGCAAUGUAUGCUACACAGGGUAUGAUAUAUGUUUCUAUUGAAUAUGUAGCUUUAUUGGUAAUAAGAAAAAAAGCUUUAUUUUAUACGGACAAUUAUGCAAGAAAUGUAGACAACAUCGACAAAACAGAAAAUAUAUGCAAAUACCUUGGAUGAGUAUCUUACUAAAUACUAAAAAGUAAAAUGGAAUAUGCACACAAGAUUACAAAAACAUAGAUGCGAUCUACUAACCUUACUAUUUUCUUUUCUAGAAUGCAUAUUAAGCCUAAAGCUGUUUUUACGGACAGGAAAAACUUCAUCUAAGCGAGUAUCAAUGUAUCUGGGAUUCUUUGUUGAGGGAUCAGAUUUUCUUAUCCCGCAUACCUCAUUGCUUUUCCUAUGAGAUAUCCAGAAACAAACUGUCAAUAAAGCAUCACUAGGAUAAUGAUAUAAUAUAUGGGAUAGCUUACCUCAAGGCGCAAACAGAUCCUGGAGAUUCAUCUACAAGUUCAAUAAUAUUCUUUCGCUUUAGCUGCUCCCCCUGCCACUCGCCAUGAAACAAAAGUUACAAACAAUUAUCCUCAUCACAUAAACUGAGAGCUUUUUGAUAGAACAUAUCUUGGAUGCCUAUACUGCAACUUGUUAGCGCUAGUACCAAAUCUAAACAAUUAUCCACCAACAAUUGUGGAUAUCAAUUAUUCAAAACAACAGCGUGGUAUAAAUGCAAAUCCUAUCGCUUGAGCACACACUGAAGAGCUUUUAUAAACAUUUGACAUAAAUGUAUACCUUUAACCUUAAUAAUUAUAUAUACACAAAACAACUAGCAUUUAACAACCACACUAAAUUGAGCAAAUUGUGAGACAGUCAAAUAGGAAGCACCAAACUCUCACAAGCCACGAGAUAUAAGUAUUUACCGCUUCCUAUCACAUAUCAUCAGCAUUCAAAAGAAUUCAAAUACCAAAAACCAUGCAAACAGAUUAAAAACACAGAUUAGGGGAUCAUGAGAUUACAAACGGCACAAAACAUGUGCUUCUGCAUCAUCAUCAUCAUCCACACGGUAUAAUAUUAAAUGUUAUUGUAAACGAAACACAUAAACAUUUAAUAAAUCGAUCAACUCCACGAAUAGUCACACACGCACUUGUUUAUUCAAUCUUCGAACAGCGAUUUACUCAAUUGAUUACAGAAUUAAAUAUACGCAAAACAACUAGCAUUUAAUGACCACACUAAAAUGAGCACAGUUAAAUAGGAAGCACCAAAGUGUCACAAGCCACAGGAUAUAAGUUUUUACUGCCUCCUAUCACUCAUCAUCAGCAUUCAAGAGAAUUCAAACACCAAAAACCACGAAAACAAAUUAAAAACAUAGGUUAGGGUGUCAUAAUAUCACAAACAAACCAUGUGCUACUGCAUCAUCAUCAUCACUAGCAUAGUUAUCGUAAACGAAACACAUAAACAUCCAAUCCAAUCAAUCAACUCCACAUAUAGCCACAUCCGCACUUGUUUAUUCAGUCUUCGCACAACGAUUUACGCAAUUAACAAGAGAAUCGAUCUUGAAACAGAUACGAGUACACGUGAUAAACAGAAACUCACUCGCAAUUCAGAAGGCGUCUUUCUCUUAACAGCAGUAGUGGCCUUAGAAACAGCACCGGAACCGACUUUAUCGAACUGAUGAGAAGGAAGAGGAGCCCUAGCAGCCACUCUCGCCAUUUUAUAUAUAACUAUCGGCCGUUAAAUUAAUAAACAAUACGUAGUCUCUAUCCUGAAAUCACGAAUUAAAAACACGAAAUCGAAAUUAGUAACUCGUAUUGAAGAAGAACGAAACGAAUUAUAUAUAAGUAAAAUUGUGUGACCUGAUUUUGUUGAAAACUGAUGAGACUUAGAGCAUUGUUGUGGAACGAAUCUGGAGACGCCGGAGAGAAUAAUGACGGAUUUGCCCCUGACGAAGGGCAAAUCUGGGGGAGGGGGUGAGAGCGGGGGUGAGAAAGGGGGGCAAAAGCAGAUGAGAAGUGAAAAGGAAGAGCGGGCCAGUUGAGCAAUAUAUAUACGAUGUAUACUAAUUGCUGCUGGUUUGAACAUUUUGUUUUCCCUCCCUCGGCCAGCCCACGUGACUAGUCUCCGUUGCAAUUUUCCAUAGGUUUCUAAAUUUUACUUUUGCGGUUAAAAAUUUUAUUUCGUUUUUUCUUUAACUUACUACUGUGCUAAAUUGAAGCAACGUGUAUACAUUUAUGAUUUGUUUCUAUUUAUGUGUAAUGGAUUGUUAUUAUAUAUAAUAAUAUAAUAAUAAUAAUAAUAAUAAAUUGUAAAGUUUGUAGAAUUGAGGAAAAUUAUGAGAUAAUUUUUAUCUCUAGUGACAUAAAAGGUCAUGCGUUUACCAUCUUACACUUACGAAAUCGGAAUCACAUAAAAGGAAAAUAAAAAAAUAAAAAAUAUCUAAUUAUGAUAAUAUUUGAGAAAAUUGGUUUAACGAUAUAAAACAGUUAAUAAUUAUGCGCAUCAAAUCGAUGAAGCAAUAAAGUACAUCACGUGUCAUUUAGAUUUGUUACUUCAUUCAUUUAUACAUCUACACGAGUUAAUAAAUGAUUAUGCACAUCAAAUUAAUGAAUUAAUAGUCAUGCCAGGAAUUGAAAACAGAGAGGAUAUAUUUUGGAUACCCUAACACUAAUCUUUAAAAAAUACAUUAAUAUUAAUAUCUUGAAAUAUGUGGUCAUUAUUUUAAAUUAUUUUUAAAAACAUGGUAGUGUAUAAUAAUCAUUUUGAUUAUUAUUUCGGACUUUGUAAAAUAUAUUUAUUUUUUAGAGAUAUACAUUAUUUAAAUUUUAUUUAGAAAAAUAUAUUUGUUUUAUUCAAGAAAUUUAAAAAACGCUAUCUUUGUUUUUUUUGUGUAGAAUUAUGAUUUUGUAACUAGACGUAAUUGGAUGCAAUCAAAUCAACCUCUAAUACAGUUGAAAUUAAUUUUAGUUAUGCAUAAAGAAGUCGGAUUGAGCCCCAUAUGAUUACAGAUCGUAUUAUUUAGAGAUCGUAUCUAAAAAAUCAAGUCAGUGUUAUAGCCAAUUUUUUAUAGAAAAAUCUAUAUAUUUGAUAAUUUUCUGAUAAUAAAUUACAAGAAAUCUACGUAUUUCUUAAAAAAAAAAAAAUCUACCAUAUUAUGCGUUGAAAUCGAAUGACAUAAAUAUUUUGACCCAUUUAAACGAGGAUAAUGCAAGAUUUCUUAGUGUUUGUUUGGUUGCAUCCGGGAAUUAACUUCCUAUGGGAAGUAGUAAUUUUCUGGUAAUUAAAAUAUAUAGGAAGUGAAAAAAAUUGUUUGGUUGUUAUAGUGGAAUUUAAAAUCAUGAAAAUUUUCCAUGACGAAAGAUGGAGUGGGUUAAUAACUUCCUACAAAUCAUGGUAUUCAUAGAAGUUGCUCUUCCCUUACUUACCAAACAACUUUAUCUCAAAGAUCGAAGCAAAGUCGGGAAAACUGUAUUUUUUUUUUAGGGAGUAGCCAAGCUUCAGGUUCACCGCCGGUACCAAAACAAAUCAACGCGUUUCCUAAAAAUUUAAUUACCGCGUUUCACAACUCUUUUUCUAAAAAAUAAACGCGUUUUACAACUCAGAACAUAUUUCAAACGAAUUAAAUAGAAAUGAUACGUUUCCUAAAAAUUUAAUUACCGUCUUCAUGUCACACACACUAAAAAUGCAAGUGUGAAAUAACAAAAAGACGUUCAACAUAUUAAUUUGCAUGUCAAUUCAUAUCAACAUUCAGAUGUUUUCACGUAAUUUCGAUACCUUCAUCUACCCUAUACGUUUGCGUUCAUAAUCCUGUAAAUCGAAUGAUUUGUUUCGAUAUUUCGUUUUGAUCUGCCAUAUCCAUUUGAUCAUAUGAUUUAGGUUUGUCUUGCUGCAAUAAGGAUUUGAAAGGAUUGAAAUCAGCAUUUGUGUAAUGCUUCAUUGUUGUUUGUACGUGAAAACUUAGGAUUUGAAUAUUAAAACACAUAUGCCGAGGAGAUAUAUGAGAUAAGUGUUUGAUGGGUAAUAAAAAUGCUGCACAAAGUAAAGGGCCACCAGAUGAGCCGCCACAGAAUGAACCAAAGCCGCAAUCAAAUGGAUUCUUUCAAUCUGUUGCUGCAGUUUGGCGUCCCAGGCAGGCUCCGACAGACACGGAUUCCGAGAGUUCUCGUCAAGGCUCACCGAAUGCUUCUUCGAAGGAUUCUUCUAGAGUAGGAUCUCCGCGUAAUGAUGCCGAGGGUAAAGCAGCUGAGGACAACGUGGCUUCGAAACCACCUACGACAGAGGUUAAAGAUAAAAACAUGAAGCGGAUGACGAGCGCAGGACUUCAGGUGGAGUCUGUGCUGCAGAGGAAAACUGGGAAUUUGAAGGAGGAUUAUAGUAUUGGGAAGAAAUUAGGACAGGGGCAAUUUGGCACGACGUAUCUUUGCGUGGAGAAGAAGAGUAAGAAGGAGUUUGCUUGUAAAUCUAUUGCCAAGAGAAAGCUGGUGACUAAGGAGGAUGUGGAGGAUGUGAGGAGGGAGAUUCAGAUAAUGCACCAUAUGGCGGGAAAUCCUCAUGUCGUGUCGAUUGUGGCUGCGUAUGAGGAUGCUGUUGCAGUUUAUCUUAUGAUGGAGCUGUGUACAGGUGGAGAGCUUUUCGAUAGAAUUGUUCAGAGAGGGCAUUAUUCUGAGCGAAAGGCUGCUGAACUUGCCAGAGUUAUUGUUGGUGUUGUGGAAGCUUGCCACUCUUUAGGUGUUAUGCAUCGAGAUCUGAAGCCUGAGAAUUUUCUCUUUGGCAAUGAGGAAGAGGAUGCGCCGCUUAAGACCAUUGACUUCGGGCUCUCAGUUUUCUUCAAGCCAGGUCUUCGGUUUUACUUAAUACCCUGAAUUCCAAUUUUCUACAACCUUGAGAGAAAUAAUUUUUAUUUGUAGUAGAACUAUUAUGCAUAGUUAACUUCUCAUUUGCUAUUGAAUGGAGAGAUCUUAAUAUACUGAUAUAUAUUUAUUUAGGCGAAAGUUUUACUGAUGUGGUUGGGAGCCCCUAUUAUGUUGCACCAGAGGUAUUGCGCAAGCUUUAUGGUCAAGAGUGUGACGUUUGGAGUUCUGGGGUUAUCCUCUACAUAUUGCUCAGUGGUGUGCCGCCAUUUUGGGAUGGUAAGAUCCUUGCUCUCUUUGUAUAUCCCGUUAUUGCUGAGGUAUGCUGCAAUUUCAAGUGUUUAACAUGAAUAUUUGGCUUUCUGGAAAUCAGAGACGGAGCAAGGAAUAUUUGAGCAGGUUAUCAGAGGUGAACUUGACUUCGUAUCAGAACCGUGGCCUAGUAUAUCCAGUGGUGCAAAAGAUUUGGUCCGAAAAAUGCUCGUGAGAGAUCCUAGAAAGCGGCUAACUGCUCAUGAAGUUCUCAGUAAGUAUACCUGAAUACUCUCUGUCCUAUCUGUACACAGAAAUUAAUGGUAUAACCAGUCUGUCAAGUUUGGAGUUAUCAAGUAACGUCAGUGGUUAUGCUGAUUUAUAAUCAAGAGGGGCUCUGUGUAGGAUAGCUAGUUUGAGCAAAUUUUGAAUUGUAGCUGGUUUCACCACGCAUAUUUGUGUUUAGUGUCCGCCAGAAUUUUAGGUCAUACACUCAUAUGAUUCAUUUCACAUUUGAUUCAAUCGAUGCCACCAGAACAUGAUGAUGUGCUUCCUUGCAGGCCACCCGUGGAUGAAAGUUGAUGGUUCGGCUCCAGACAAACCUCUUGAUCCUGCUGUUUUAAGUCGUUUGAAGCAAUUUUCUGCAAUGCACAAACUCAAGAAGAUCGCUAUCAGAGUAAGCAUAUAUAUAUACACACGACACACCUUGAAAAUGUUCAUAUUCCAAAUUGCUGCAUUGUUGAAUAUUCUAGGUAAACUUCUGCCUGAGUAUUUUUCCUCUUGUUUUGCUUAUAUCCCGGUCAAGGUGAAAUUGUUUCUGUUGGUUCCAAACUUUUUCUUUCUUUUCCUUUUUGAUAAUUGAACACACUCACUCACUCAUCUCGUCUUUAACAAGAUCCGAACCCUCAGUCUCCGGUAAGUGGAGCGGGGGAGAUACUGUGUGAUCAAGAGGUCAUUGGUUAACCUUGAACUUUUAUACAUAUAGGUUUGUGAACGAAGGAAACGGAUAUGUGCUUUUCAAAUAAUUAUUUUCAAAUCCUUGUUUAAUCUCAGACUUGCUACUGACUGUAUAUUGUUUGCAGAUAAUUGCUGAGAGUUUGUCCGAAGAAGAAAUCGCAGGAUUGAAACAAAUGUUUAAGAUGAUAGACACAGACAAUAGCGGACAGAUCACACUGGAAGAGCUACAGAAAGGUUUGGAAAAAGUGGGUGCAAAUCUCAUGGAGUCAGAAAUUAAUGAUUUGUUGGAAUCUGUAAGUAUAUGCUGCAAUUUUCAAUUUAAUAUGUAUAUUGAGCCACUUUCUAAAGUUCAUAACUGACCUUUCAUAACAACAUUAUAGGCGGAUCUUGACAACAGUGGCACCAUCGACUACACUGAAUUUGUAGCGGCGAUGCUACACUUGAACAAAGCCCAGAAGGAGGAUCACAUGUACGCGGCCUUUUCAUAUUUUGAUAAAGACGGAAGCGGUUACAUUACUUCUGAUGAGCUUCAGAAUGCAUGUGGGCAGUUCGGAUUAGGAGGUUGUCAGCUAGAAGAUAUAAUGCAUGAAGUUGACAAGGACAAUGUACUCACCUUGCCCUCCAUAUCCCAAAUCUUGUUCAUUUUCUCUGCAACACAAUUUAUAUUCAUUUAGCAAGAUUGCUUGACAUAAGAAUUUGCUUUUCAGGAUGGGCGCAUUGAUUACGGUGAAUUUGUGGCCAUGAUGCAAGAUACUGGACUCGACAAGAAGGGAUUCCAGAACUUGAAAAGCAUAGGGAUAAGGAAUGCCUCGUAAGGUUGGUCAUUCUUGAUACAAUCCACAGUAUAGGUGUACAGCGGCUGACCAUGAGUCUGUAACUUCAAAAUUGACAAUGCAAAAUGUUGUGAAGAUCAGGCUUGUGAUAGAAUGCAGAACUUCUGUCCCAUAGUGUUGCACAGUAUUCUCUGUCAAUGUAAAAUGUUGUGAAGAUCAGGCUUGUGAUAGAAUGUUUGAUUCCAGAGAAUUUUUCAUAGUUUUACUCUAUCUGUAUUUUCUAUCUAGAUCUGCUAUUUUCAGCUUCAGCGACACUGAUAAGUUUAAUGUGGGAUUAUUAAGACAUGCAUUAUAGUCAGAGUUUACCAAAAUGUUAAGGCCUAUAUCGAUCUGCAGAUUUCUCCAGUGCUUAAUUAUGAUAUUUCAUUAUUUUUGCACUGCAUGUAAAUAUGUAAUGGUGUCAUAAUCGCUUUUCCAAAUAAUUUGCAUCAAGACUCAAGAGGACCAUAUAAGUUUGGCAUGAACUCUACUCAUGACACAAUCAUACGUCUGCAUGAUUGAUUCCUCUUAGAAGAUAGCAGACCUAUUUGACAGAUGCCCGCCCCCUGAGGAACCACGCCUGACAUUUGGUCUUCAUUCAAGUCAUGUGUAGGUUAUAGCUGGUUCAAACUUCACUGACUCAGGUCUUGCUUUCACUUGAAAGGUACUCUCUCCGUCCCUUUUACUUGUGCACUCCGUCAGUUUUUUUUUUUUGCCACAUACACUCCGUCAAUUUUAGUUGUGCACUUUUGAUUUUAGUGAUCAAAUUGACUAAAAUUUGAUUAAAUUUUUAAUUUUAUAUAUAUUAUAUAAUUGAAAUAAUAUUUAAAAAUAUAGCUUUCAAUUUUUUUAAAAUAAUAAAAAAUUGUCCUAAACACCAACUAAUUCUGUGACAUUUUGCCCUUUUGUGGUUGAGAAAACAGGUAAACCCUAUUUAUGUUCUUGAAGAAGAUUUGCGCCCAAGUAUUUUACUGCAUGCAUCAACAUUUCAGAAUGUUCAUUUUCAUUUGUUCUACAUUUCGAGGGCCAAUUAUCAGAAUAAAAUGCACUUCCAUUUCCGCAAGCUUGCCAUAUACCUGCCAUAAUUUUCGGUUUACUGCCAAAUGUCCUGAAGAAUUCUUAAUCAACUUCAAUCUGAAAUGUUCGAUAUUGGUUUCAUACUUAAAAUAUUAAAAGUUUAAAAAUUGAUUUGAUUGAUAAAUAUAACAUUAUUUAUUAUUAUAACACAGUGUAAUUAUAACAUAGUCUUCGAUAAAUAUAUAGAGUACAUCUUUCCGUACCACUUACUUUCUACCUUCAUAAAAUUUUAUGUUACAGUAAACUGUAUUAACCAAAAUUUAUGUUUUAUUAAACCAUACUGUAUUAACUACUACCUCCGUCCCAUUUUAUGUGAACGGAUUUGACUUUCACGGAGAUUAAGAAAAAGAUAGUAAAUGUAGUUGAAAAGUGGGUAAAGUGGUGGGACCUAUCAAUAUUUAAUAAUAGAUUUGAGAUAGUGGAGAAAAGUAGUGGGUGUAAUAGUGUAUAUUUAAUAAUAAGAGAGUAUAAAAUAUUGAGUUAGUGGGUGUAAUAGUGAAAAGUAUUGUUCAAAAAUAGUAAGUAUUCUAGGUUCAUUCUUUUUGGGACGUCCCAAAAAGGAAAUGAGGUCACAUAAAAUGGGACGGAGGGAAUAAAAUGGGACGGAGGGAGUACUAAUUAAUAGUAGUUACUCUGACAUGUAUUGAUGUUGUAAACUACGACAAAUAAAUAUGAAAUUGUGGCCAAUAUAAUUUGGAAUUGAAUGAAAGUACUUUUUAGCAUUAUUUAUUUGAAUUGAAUUAUUACAAGUCAGAACUAAAAUACAAAUACUCCAGCUGAAUUGAUUGCUAUAUCAAUUUCAGCUAAUGUUCGUACUAGCUAGACUGCAACAGUCCGGUCAUAUAUCAGUAACAGAGGUCCAUCCCUAUACAAGUCAAUUAUUGACAAGUACAUUGAAUUGGCAUGAGACUUACUCUGGGGUUUUCAGUCCCACAACGUUCUUGAAUCUUGACAUUUCAGAGAUUGUAUUUUCAGUUCAUGUGGAUUCUUGGCUGGAGGAAACGAAGGGGAGGAGAAAUUGAAUGAUUAAAAUGUGAAAAUCACUGAACACGGUUAAUCAAGCUAAAUAUAUUCGGUAUAUCACAUUUCAACGAAUUAUUUUGGUAGAGUUUAUGCGUAAUAUAAUAUUAUCUGGUAAUCCCUCAUCCCAACAGCUCGAGAUUUUGGUAUCAGAGCGCUCAGUCUCAGGGAAGACUCGGGUCGACAAGUAUUGGUCACUUAACCAGGGCCGUCUGGGAUUUUUUUGAGGCCCUGUGCUGACUUUAAAAAUGAGGCCCUUCCAAAUAAUAGAAGAAAAUUUUAAUAUGUCUAAAAUAACAAGAUAUCAUAAACAAAAUUAGACUACUACAAUUGAAAAAUUGUUUGUUUUCUGAGUAGUUAGACUUAAAUAUGUAGGUAGCCGUGUGAGAUUUACUGCUUGUACAGUAUACUAGUUUGUGGGGAGAGAGAAGGAAUAAGAAGAGACAUGCAUGGCUGGGUGUUGGGAGUUGAGAAUUGAUUAGUGUUUAAAUGAAAUAAUGGUAAAAAUUAAAGAGAUAUUAGUAUUAUAUUAUAUUUAUCAUGAGUAUACUAAAAGAUAGAAAGAAGUAGUCAUAAAUUGGGGGCCCCAAAUUUUCAUGGGCCCUGUGCUGUUGCACUUGUUGCACUCCCUCAAAACCGGCCCUGCACUUAACCAUACUUAAUGCAAUGCAUGGAAUAUGGAUUGGUCAGUAAAAGAGUCCCCUAGAAAAAUUAAGUGCGUCUUGAACCUUCUAUAGGCUUCUUAGGACACUGUCACAUUACCUCUUCGUCUUCGAUUACCUCUCUGCUCCGGCACCGGCUCUUCAUUCUGUUUUAACCAUUUCUGGCUUUCUCACAACUCUAUCCUUCUCGACAUUUUUGGCUAAGAUAAGUCACUUCCUUUAACUGUCACAAAAUGUAGAUAGAACGGUUCUCAGUAUAUAAUGAAGAAGCUUUCUGAACCACACGUAUUGGUUUGUUAAGCUUCAGUAAGGAUUGUACUUAAGCUUGUAAACAACAGAAUUAUGUGAUUCAUACAUAGAUAAUUACUAUAAUUGUAAAGCUGUUACUACCAGCUAGAGUAUGAAAAGGAUGAAGCAGAAGAAAACAAAGAGUAAGGGCAAUGCAGUACGAAGCUGACCCCGAAAAAAGUUUGAAGAUGUGGACAUCGGAAGAUAUGAGGAAAACCACAAAAACUUCUGGCAGUUGCCUGCAGAACAGGCAACUCCGGAGGAUUGUCCGUUGUCAUGUCCUCUUCAGAUAAGUUGGCGGCAAUGCAAUUACCAUCACCUCGGAUACAAUUGAGAAAUCAUUAAAGGCGGAACAGUGAUCGACUGUUUCAAUAUCUGUACGUUAGAUCCAUGAAUAUGAUUGAUAAUAACUAUAUCCAACUUGCAAUAUAUGCACUGGUGCGUAUAUCAUAGUUCCUGAUCAGGGGUCUUUUGGUAACUAAGUUGGCUGGCUUCUUUAUAUAAGUAAGAAGCCAACCAAGUCUUUCCCUCCAAAGAUAUUACACAUUAAUUCUAAAUAAUCUUGAUCAAGCUAGGGCUCGAGGGUUCACCCUCUUCGCUGCCCUUUCUAGUAACAGAAGGUGAGAUACCAUUCAUUACGUAUAGGCUGUAGCCAAGGCACUCGUGUAAGUAAAAAUGUAUUAUGAGAGAUUGAAUUGAGAGUUAUAAACGAACUAUAUUAACAUGCACCUAACCAUACACACGUAUAGAUGUAUUUUACAUGCAAUGACAAACCAGAUGAAUGUAUGCUGGUACUAACUUCUGUUAUAUGUGCAUUGUAUAUAAUUUUGUAAAACUAUUACUUAGGAAUGGAUGCUAAGAGCUCAGCGACGGGACUAAGGAGGACCCAGUCGGAUCAAAUAGUUGGUAUCGAGAUAAUGUCAGUGGCAAUGAAGUCACCAAGUGUGUUAACUGAUGGGGUCACUGGAACAGAGAAGGGCUCCAAAAAAUUGAUAAGUAAAGGAGGAGGAUUGAGUGCAUUACCUGGAGGUGUAGGGAGUAAUAGCAGCAGGCACACAAGGAGAACAAGGUCUGCUCAAAUGAGAUUUGAUGCGGAUGAAUUGAGCAGCAGCACUCCUCUCAGCCGAGCUUCCAGUGCCAGCAUGGGAUUUUCCUUCACUGGCCCCUCCAAUGACAUUGCUCAUUCUAGGCUCUUAAGUGACAACGACGACGAUUAUAAUCGUAUCAGUAAGCUCUUAUUACUUUAUCUAAACUAAUCUUUAAUUUCCAACGUUUAUCUAUCAUACUCAUUCAUCCAGGUACACUAAUUUAAACUAACAGACAUUUCUUCCUAUAUUAAUUCUAUUUCAUCAACCAUAACUAUAGUUCAUUCUCCCAAACAUAUCUUCUGCGUACUUUCUAACUAAAAAUCCGGUAUCAUAUUUCUGACUGCUCUACUCUUUUAAGACUUCUCUUGCCCCUAUAGUUUUCUCUAUAUCUUCUCGUUCCCAUACCAAACAACCUAAAUAGACGCCAGUGUCAUGGACACUGCAUCUAGUUUAUAGCAGACAACCAACAAGAAUCACCUAGCACAGACUGGUAGACAUCAUAUAUACAAAAUUAACAUUUUAAACUGCAUCGAUGCUUGAUUAGGAAUAUAUACAAGUCAGAAGAUGAUAGCAUAUAGAGAAAUAUAGUAUUUACAAUUGGUGAAAAGACAUCCAUGCUUACUAACAAACAAUGUACAUGCUCUUGCAGCGGAAGAUAUUGAGGCUGGUACGCUUAAUAAGAAGAUUCAAACAGAUCCAACCUUGCCACUUUACCUCAAGGUGAUAUUUCUUCUAAUAAAGCCAUGCUGCUUCCAAUGUGUAACCCAAUAGGCAAUAGCCAUAGAAAAAUAAAUCCCAAGGAAUAAUGUGAUUACCUAGGCACAUAUAGAAUAAUAUAUAGACCUUCCUAAAUAUUCCACCAUACUUCAAACAAUAAUUACUUGAGGAAAGACAAGAUGCGUGAAACAGACUAAUAAAGAGAAUAUCUAGAUACAUAUUAUCCGCACACUCCAUUGCCAUUUUGUUAAUCGGACUUCAGGGCUCAGGCUCACAAGCACAAGUGAGGUCAUAUGCAAGCACAAGUCUGCACCAAAUGAACCAAAGAGGAUCGUACAUAGAAUAAAAUUGCUUUUUACUCUGGCUUCUGGCUUAUAAGUCAGAAUUAGCUUAUUCGUACUGUUUGUGUAAAGAAGUUCUGAGCCAACUCCUGACUUAUAAGCCAGAUUCAGAGAAGUUGAUUUCAACUUCUUUUAGUGACUUAUUUAUUUAUUUUUUGAAAUUUUAUUUGACAAAUAUGUAUAGGAUCUUUUUAGAAGAUAAUUUUUAAUAUUUUAUUAUUAUAAUAAUAAUUUUUAUCUCUAAUAAGUUGUAAAUACAAAAGAAUUUAUCCAAACACAUAAAAUAAAAGUUACUUUUCACUUAUAAGUAACUUCUUGCUUAUGUGCAAUAAACACUUCUUAUAAGCUAAGCCAAAUGGCCCCUGUAUAUUGCACUAAGAAGGUAGGCACUGAGAUCAUCUUUCUCUGUUCUUUAUGCAGUUCACUGACGUGACCCACAAGGUUAUUAUCAAAGGAGUGACAUUUAGAGAAGAGAAGAAUAUACUACAUGGAAUUACUGGUUCCGUGAACCCAGGAGAAGUUCUGGCACUUAUGGGACCAACAGGAUGUGGAAAAACGACCCUCUUAAGUGUGCUAGGAGGCAGGGUGGCUAUGAUUGAUCCAAAAGGUUCAAUCACUUAUAAUGAUCAGUCAUAUACAAAGUUUCUGAAGAGCAGGUGCGUAACAGGGUAAUUUGUGGAAUAAACAAGGACGUGCUUAAAAUAAAAAGAUUAACUAUCUUACCGCUGAACAAUUAAUUAAAAGAAAACUGGCUGACUAUAGAAAUAAGGUAAUAAAUUAGGCCAUCCAAGAAAUGGACUAAGGAGAAGCGGAAGGAGCCAUGCCACUAGGCUACCUGCAAGUUCCCUAAAAAACCAGAAUUCUGGAAAUGUCUAUUGAAUACCAAACUAUACUCUCUGUCUCUAUCUAACAAGCAGCAUCUGCAGGAUAGGAUUUGUGACACAAGACGACGUGCUAUUUCCACAUCUUACAGUAAAGGAAACACUAACAUAUGCAGCUCUACUACGUUUACCAGUGGAACUGACGAAGCAAGAAAAGGAGGAACGGGCUACAAAUGUAAUCUCUAAACUUGGUUUGGAGAGGUAAGUUUGUUAGUUUCUAAAUGACCUGAAAAAUUACUGAUUAAUACAUCUUCAGUGUAAACUCUUUAGUAAAUAUAACAUGGUGGACAGGUGUCAAGACAGCAUGAUAGGUGGUUCCUAUGUUAGGGGAAUUUCAGGUGGAGAGAAGAAACGUGUUUGCAUUGGAAAUGAAAUAAUCAUGAACCCUUCUCUUUUGUUCCUCGAUGAACCAACCUCCGGAUUAGAUUCUACAACUGCUCUGAGAAUCAUUCAAGUGUUACAAGAUAUAGCUGAGGUAUUAUUCAGUUAAAUACAUAUCCUAUAUUGUUCAAAACCAGAGAACUAUCUUUGUUGACACUAAAGCUGUUGGUGUUUUCCGUCUAGUGGAGGAACUAACUUUCGAAUAUGGCAGGGUGGAAAAACAAUUAUCACUACAAUUCAUCAGCCAUCCAGCAGGCUCUUUCACAAGUUUGACAAGUUGAUCCUUCUUGACAAAGGCAGCAUGCUUUACUACGGAAAGGCAUCAGAAGCAAUGAAAUAUUUUUCAUCCAUAGGAUGUUCUCCUCUGAUUGCUAUGAACCCGGCUGAGUUCCUGAUAGAUCUUGCAAAUGGAAAUUUGAAUGAUGUUUCUGUCCCGUUGAAACUAAAGAACAGCGUGCACGAGGGGAUUUCAUACACAGAGUGCAAAAAUGGAAAACCAUCUCCAGCAAUGGUGCAUGAGGUGAUUAUUGGAAUAUAUGUCUAUAAAGAAUUAUAGUCUCUAGAAUGCAGUAUCAUAAAAGUGUAUGAUUGACGUGAAUAUUGGUUUUAAGAAACAACCCUAGAGCUCCGGUGAUAAAUAAUUGUGAUUAGAUCCAAACCCCAACAAUCAUACUAUCAAAAGAUAAUAAUAUGUAUUCAAGAACAAAAAUAAGAGGCUGAAAAUUGGCAGCAAGAAAGCUAUUGAUUAAUAAUAUAUUAUUUGCCAGUAUCUCGUGGAGGCCUAUGAGACACAAGCAGCUGAAAAUGAGAACAUGAGACUUAUGAUUCCCAUAACCAUUGAUGAAGAAUCAAGAUCAAGGGUGUAUUCCGAAAAACGAGAAUGGGGAGCAAGCUGGACGAAACAAUUUUGCAUAUUAUUCUGGAGAGGACUUAAAGAACGGCAACAUGACUACUUUAGCUGGCUAAAACUUGGCCAGAUAGUCAUAACUGCAAUAAUUGUGGGACUGCUUUGGUGGCAAUCAGGUGGUGAUAAAGCUGAACAACUUCACAAUCAGGUAGAGAAUUCUGUAUCUGAUAUCCUAUGAAUUUUCGUGCUGGUCCAUUCUUAGUGUCCUACAAGUGCAACAUUCUGGAUGCACAAUUCAAAAUUUAGAAGUAAUAUAUAUAUUAGCACCUCAAUCUACAACUCCCUUGCCUUCUUUUCAUAUCUUAACAUAUGUUUACAUAGCCUGCCUACUCACUAAUAUUUCUUUAUGUCAUUGAAGAAAAACUCAAGAGUUCAACCUUCAAAUUUUGCUUCCAGGCAGGUCUAUUGUUCUUCAUUGCUGUCUUCUGGGGAUUUUUUCCAGUUUUCACAGCAAUCUACACAUUUCCACAGGAAAGAGCUAUGCUAAAUAAAGAACGAGCAGCCGAUAUGUACAGAUUAAGUGCAUAUUUUGCAGCUAGAACUACAAGUGAUCUUCCACUCGACCUUUUACUGCCACUACUUUUCCUCAGUAUAGUCUAUUUUAUGGCAGGCCUGAAACAUAGUGCAAAAGCAUUUUUCCUUACUGUGCUCAUAGUUUUCAUCUGCAUAGUUGCAGCUCAGGUACACCUUCAUCAUCUACAUAAUAAUGAUAGUACAAUGACAACAUAUCCUAGUUCCUACCACGAUUUACUUCAACUAGGGGAAAAUUGUAGGGACUUGGAUUAGCCAUCGGCGCUACACUGAUGGACUUGAAGAAAGCAACUACCUUAGCCUCUGUAACAGUGAUGACAUUCAUGUUGGCUGGAGGAUACUUUGUUGGGGUAAGCAUACAGCUAAACUAUAUAAACCAGAGGUGUUAAUAUUUUUCCUGGAUAACAGAAUUAACUAAUUCAGUUUAUCUCACAUUUUCUUUGCAGAAUGUUCCAAUAAUCAUAUCAUGGCUCCGCUACAUCUCUUUUACUUAUCACACUUACAAACUCCUCCUGAAAGUGCACUACGAAGAUGUGAUCCAGCAAAUGGAUGGAAUGAAAAUAGAUAGUGGUGUAACUGACGUUUGUGCCUUGGUAGCCAUGGUUUUUGGCUACCGUCUCUUGGCAUAUAUAUCUUUGCGAAGAAUGAAGCUCCACUAAAUAAUAAUUAAUUUCACAAUAAGUGGGAUAAACAAGUGAAUUACGUAUUGAAUAAUAUUUAGCAUGGAAACUUGAUCAAGAUAGCUACUUGACUUCUGAAACCUAAAGGGCAGUUCUGCAGAGACAUGAAGCCAAACUCAAGGGAGGGAAUCCAUUCCAACCUCCAAGUUCUCCAUCGAAAAAUUCCAAUAAACUAGUAUCUAUUCCCUAUGAAAUCAACAGACUGUAAGCCCUGUUCGCAGCGUCAAAGUACUUAAAUUUGCCUCUUGAUUUGGUAUCUUAUCUAUCCUUAUGGUGGUUAACAUUGAACUAAGAGUUCAAGAUAAAAUCACUAGUAUUUAAUAGCAAAUUGUUAUGAUACAUUAUUUCAAGCAAUCUUAAUUAUAGAAAGAAUCUGCUUCAGAUUGCCUAUGAAUACAAUGUUUUUUCUGUUCUUUAAUUAAUUAAUUAAUUUAUUAUAGAUAGAUUCUUGAAUUCAUUUUACUAUUCCACUUACAACUAGGGAUAAUGUUUUUAAUUUUCUGUCUGUAUAUAUUGCUAUUACUUCCUCUUGUAUAAAUUUCAUGAGGAACAUAGGAAGUGAGUUUUACUUUCCCAAGGAUUAUGAUAACAUAAUUUAAUGUGCUUGGAAUUUAAAUUACAUAUAUAUUUCUACAUUGCAACCUCAUUAUAUCAUGAACUGAAGGAAGCUAUGUUAUCCAUGAAUUUAAAAAAUAUAUAUCAGUAGACGGAAUGCAUAUAUGACACAAGAUUUUAACAUCACAAGUUGACUUUGUUAUAUAUGAGGAAAAAAAUGUUUUGUGGUUCACACACUUGGGAACCACCAAAACAAAACAUAUAUUGGAAAAAAGCCACGUACUAUUCAACAUAGGUAAGAAUAAAACUUCCCCUAGUUCCUUGAUACCUCAAUUGAAUUUUUCGAAGAGAGACUAAAUAUCAAAUUGAACAUGACCUCGUAUCAGAAGCAACCUUCUGCCCUUCAUGUAAGUCACAUUUUAUGAUUGAACUCUUUAUGCUAGUGUCCUGAACCAACCCAGUAGACGAAGGAGAGCAGCAUCCAAAAUGGGAGAUUUCUGCUCAAGCCCUGGCAGAUGGAAACGUAGGUAAUUAAAUGGCAUACACUUUCAGUUCAUUCUAAAGUUGACUGAUGAGGGUGAUUCAGUCAUUUAAAAGAAACUAAUUAUACACCAAACUGCAUUCAGAUUAUUCUAAAACUAAAACAUAGAACUUCAAGCAAAGACUUCAAGAAUAUUUUAUUGUAGGGUAAGGUCAACACNNNNNNNNNNNNNNNNNNNNNNNNNNNNNNNNNNNNNNNNNNNNNNNNNNNNNNNNNNNNNNNNNNNNNNNNNNNNNNNNNNNNNNNNNNNNNNNNNNNNNNNNNNNNNNNNNNNNNNNNNNNNNNNNNNNNNNNNNNNNNNNNNNNNNNNNNNNNNNNNNNNNNNNNNNNNNNNNNNNNNNNNNNNNNNNNNNNNNNNNNNNNNNNNNNNNNNNNNNNNNNNNNNNNNNNNNNNNNNNNNNNNNNNNNNNNNNNNNNNNNNNNNNNNNNNNNNNNNNNNNNNNNNNNNNNNNNNNNNNNNNNNNNNNNNNNNNNNNNNNNNNNNNNNNNNNNNNNNNNNNNNNNNNNNNNNNNNNNNNNNNNNNNNNNNNNNNNNNNNNNNNNNNNNNNNNNNNNNNNNNNNNNNNNNNNNNNNNNNNNNNNNNNNNNNNNNNNNNNNNNNNNNNNNNAGGGAAAGGUCAACAUCAUACUAACCUAAAUCAGCAGCAACUCGAUGAGCACACAUCACUCCUGAGAAUGCAACGGCUAUAACACCUUGUCCUGGAAAGCAACUAUCCCCCACACAGUACAAACCGUCAAUUGCCUGCAAUUUCCAUCAGACAAAGUUCACUCAAUAUCCUCUAAAGUUUUUAAUAAAGACACCUUAAGGUGAUCAAACUUACAGUUGUAUUAAAUGGCAUUCCUAGUAAACCCUUUGGGGUACCCUGUGGCAUAGGUCCAUAGGUACCACUAUCACGAGCAAGGUAGCGCCUGUGUGUCUUAGGUGUCCCGACCUGUAAUGGUUACUGUUAACUGUCAAAUCUUACCUAUUAAUCUAUAAACUCUUAGAUUGUGCACAAAAAAUGCUUACCAUGAUUAAUCUACGGAGAAUGAUAAUACAAAAUGCAAAAAUUACAAAUUACCAGUUCCUUUUAAUAAAAGAGAGAGAUAGAGAGAGCACUGAUUCUCAUUAAGAAUGACACAUCUAAAUAUCAUCAAGCACACUACAAAUAAUCUCAUAGAGUACCUCCUUUAAAACAAUGGAAGACUGGAGACCAGGAAAUAGUUUCUUUUCCAGUCGGCUUAUAAUCUCGUCAGCUACAAGCUCCUUCUUCUUCUCAUAAUCUUUUUGAGACAUCCCCUAUAACAUUGAAAACCAGGACCAUGUUACUUAAUUUGAAAAACAUUAUGAAAAUCCAUUUCUAGAAAAGAAUUCAAAUACAAAUAACAUGAACCGUUGCAUAUGAUAUGAACAUAUAUAAAAUACCUGCCAGUCCUCUAUGGAAGAAGUUGUAAAUAUGUGAAGAAUAUGAUUCCCUUCUGGAGCUAAUGAUGAAUCAAGGACAGUCGGAAUGCUCAGGAAUAUACUACCAUAUGGAACCUCUAAAUUUGACCAAUCAUCCUAUCAAAUUUCAGGGAAAAUAAACAAAGUGACUAUAUAUCAUCGACAUGCAUGCUUGAGCAGGAUCCCAACACAGUCAAAGACCGAGUUGUUGAAGUAACCAUAUACCUCGAGCACAAAAUGGUGGCAAUCCGUAUCUGGAGGCAAAACAUCAGAUUUAACUCCCAAGUGAAUAGAAAGAAAUGACGGGGCCUUUAUGUAAAGUUUCUGAAAAUUUUCUUCUUCUUUAGGUAAUUCAUCCUGUUUUAGAAGCUUCCCUGUAGUGUAAUUAUUUAUAUGAUUAGGCAAUAUUUUUCAAAGAGGUUGAGAAACCUUAGUUUAUAAUCAUCACCAUACAACAGAGCAAAACUCAUAGUUCAAAUAGUUGCAGUUUUACCAAAAGUAUCCCAUCUGGUAGCAUUUGAAAUUAUGUUCUUAGCAAAUAUCUCAUUUCCAUUCGCCAGCCGAACUCCUACCUAUGAGAUGAAGGUUGCUAACAUGAGGUUAUAUUUAUCUUUCAAAACAUCACGGGUAUACAAAUUCCAGUAUUAUCAAGUCUAGACUAAGUUUGGACUUACGGCUUUUCCAUUUUCAACUAUAAUGCUCUUAACAUUUGCUUUGUAUUGUAUUUCGCUUCCCUGGUCGACUAAUCCUUUUGCUAAUGAUUUUGCGAUCCCACCAACCCCACCAACAGGAUAGUUAAUUCCCCCAUAGUGUCUGUCACACAGAACCUGCCAUAUGCAGUAUAUGAGAUUCAUAAUAGGAAGAAAAAAAAAGCGACCGAAUCUAGACAAACAAGUUACCAUGCUUGCGUUGAUCAUUGGUGUCUUCAACGCAUUAACGGUACUCACAAUAAAGCACUGCAUGAUUACCAAUAAAUUUAUUUUAUAAUCUCGGAUAAAUUUUUGCAAGGCAGAUUCCAAAACAGUAAAAGCAUCAAAGAUGAGUCAUAAACUUUGAGAGGACAGCUCUGACCUACCUCAGCAUCUAUAAAGGACAGAACCUCCGGAUCUUUUAUGAACUUCCGAGCUAUGUCUCCAGCAUUUUGAGGCAAAUAGUAUGCUGCAUAGCAUAUCAUGUUAAAUAGUAUCUCCUGAUGUUAUCGGAUUGGUUUUCAAAAUACUUUGCAACUUAAGGAAUAAUAGUUUAAACAAAUGUCAGCCACUAAAUAAAACAGAGAUUCAUAAUUUUAAUAACAUGAUACCAUGACUGUUCACAAAUAUUGUUGCGUAACAUGGCAUCAAUAUAAAAGAAGAUCAAGAACUAGGUAGGUAAAGCAAAAGAAUAUCAAGCUUCUGGGACAGGCAAUUGUAAAUAGCUAUUAUAUUGCUCAUUACAUUACAAAAUAUUGUUGAGUCUAUCAACGUGUCACAAACUGACUGUAAUACGGGUGCUAUUCGAAUUUCCAUGAAGUUUAUGCACUAGUAAUUACCCAGUGUUAGGCAUUCCAUAGGCUUUUUAAAGAACUGCCCAAACAGGUAGAUUGGUUCCUCGAGUGACUUCAGUUCCAAUGAGUUCAAGGCAUUAAAAAUCUACAACAUACACAUAGAGUUUGUUAAACAUCUGCCAUAGUUACUAUAAUAAAGAACUCUAAGCAAUCGCAGUCACCUUAAGGAAAACAAACCUUCCAGCAUUCACCAUAAAAUUUAAAUAUUCCUUCCUUUUCAUGUGGAAAUUUGCUUGUCAGUUCGGAGAAGAACUCAUUAUAUUCUCUAUGUACUAGGACAGAAAGAUUACUAGGUAGAUGAAAAUGGACAGUACUGGGGUCAGGUAUCACCUCCAUCUUACAGCCAACUGCCGCCAAUGCUUGAGUUAUCAAGUUAAGAUUCCCCUGCCAAAGAACUAGAUAGAGUUAUGGAGGCAAAUACUCGAUACUUAACCGUUAGACAAGGCCGAAUAGCAAGUUACUAGAUUGUCUGAAAACUUUGUCACACUACAUCUUACAUAGGAGAUUAUUUGUAGUUAUAAUGUAAUACUGUAUCCAGCGUUGUUAGGCAUGUCGAUCAUUUCAAAAAAACAAUGAAAUCAUAAUUGACAACCAACUAAAAAGCAAUACAGUAUUGAUGCUUAAAUUAUAAUGUGAACAGUGGUCACCAUUAAAAGCUCUUUUUAGCGUGUAUGAUCUAGUCAAGGAUACAGGCACUGGAGCAAGUCUGUAUGUUCCAACUCUAAGCAAAAGAUAUUCUUGCUAACAUUGGGCAAGUAACUCUACUUAAUGCAGAAGAAGGUUAAACCAUCAUAUACAGACACCCUUAGUAAUUACAAGAACGUGCUUACCAAAUAUCACUAUACAGUAUCAACUACAUUAACCAAUUCAGAGCAAUAUAUAUUAGGCAGAACAUUUUUUCAAUCGAUGCGAAGUUAAAAGUUAGACUAGACGAUUUUAAAACCAAUUUUAUGUCAUCAUAAAUAUAAAUAUACCAUAAGAAUCCUUUACAACCACAUUAAACUAAUUUGCACAUAUUUCUCAUAACCGAAAGGCGAAAACCAAUCAGUAGCUAACCUUAUCACUGAAGCCAAACAUCACAGAUGAUCCAACAUCGAAUGUAAAACCAUCUCUUUCGUAAUAUCCAGAGCUCCCACCAGGAAUCAAAUACUUUUCAAGCACUAGAACCUUAGCACCCUUCACAGCCAACUGUGUUGCUGCAACCAAACCACCAAUCCCAGACCCAAUCACAAUAGCAUCAUACUCUCUACUCCUACCCAAUCCCACACUUUCAUCACUCUCCAACUCUUUAUCAACACUCAGCACAGAAUUCAACACAAAAGUAGGCUUCCUCUUUCUCCUACUCACCCUACAAAACCCAAAAUUCAAGGGCUUUGGAUACAAAAUUCUAUCUUUCUGACAUCUGGGUCUUAGGCUUUUCAACCCAAAACUCCUGGAAUUAUCAAAAAGUUUAAAACUUUGAGAAACUAAACUGUUGCUACAUAAAAAAAGAUCACUUCUUGGUAAUGGGGUUUCAAAGAUGCUAGUAGACAUACUAAUUCUUGAAUUUAGCUUCUGGGUGUCGAAUUGUGGGUGCCCAAAUCAAGAAAGAUGGAGAGAUUAAUUUGCUUUGGGGAGGAAGGUGAGUGUGUGUAUGGUUUAUAUGGGGGUGUAUUUGGUAGUGAAGAGAAAGAUGCCAUGGAUUAUGUGAUAGCAGGAUUCUAGCAUCUGUCAAGUAUAUGAGACAAAAAAGAUUGGUUUAUGUGUGUGUGCCUUGUGUGCGUGUAAAAUAUAAAAAAAAUAAUCAAAUUCACUUGCAACCGGUUUGGGCAUCACCGCUCAAAUUUGGUUUUGCUGUUAGUUUUUAUAUUUUAGUGAAGGGGAAUAAAUUUGGAAUCCACGUUUUAUCUUGUUGUAUUAUCCGAAAACAAUGCAAUCGUCUGUGGUUUUUUCCCUGAUAAACAGAUUUAUAAACUUAUGAAUGAUUGAAUCAGAUGAAUUUCACAAGAAGCAAGAAUCCAAUUCAAUCUAACAAUUAUAAUGAUUAAAAUAUGUAGUCAAAUUACUAAAAAGGAUAGUAAAUAGAACAUGGACAAUAAUUUUGUGCAACAAAAAUUUAAUAAGACAUGAUCUACGAAUGAUUGAUCAAUUCAGACCGUGAGAUAUCUUAAUAAUAAAAAUUUAUACUUGUUUCGCAUAUAAUUAUUUUUAGUAAAAUAUAUAAUUCUCGAUUUUUCACGUAUUUCAUCCGUUUGAAUAUACUAAUUUCUUGAUUAUUUUACCUAUUUUAAAAAUAUUUGAGUGUACAUUAAAAUAUUAUAUUCAUAAAUUUUCUUAUAAAUAAAUGUGUGAAACUAAUAACUUUAUUCACAAAAUAAAUUUUCAAAAUAAUAUUUUUGAAUAUAUAAAACUCUUAAAAAUACAUCAUAUGUACAUAACUAACUAUCUAGGCAUGCAAACAGGGGAAUGACUAUAAUUAGGUCAAAAUUAAAUGGCAAUGUUAUUUUCUUUCUUUUUUGAAAUAUAACAUGUGCAAAUUGCGAGGAUCAUCUUUAAAUUUAGCCGAAGUAGAGUUCCUGGUUUUGAUCAGACGCCAGUUGUCCUAAAUAAGCAAUCCUCUGACACAAGUACUGUAUGACAGAAUGAAAUCUGUGCAAAAAUCUCUUGAAAUCUGAAGGAAACAACAACUUCAACAGGAUUAUAAUUUUUUGAUCAUUUUGCCCCGGUUUAUUAUUGCAAUCUAAAAGGCCAGAUUAGAUCGUACCAAAUCAAAUGCCACCCCCCAUUUUAAGUGUUUCGGGUUUUCAUUCUACAAUUCCCGGUGCCUGGUAGGCUGGUACUACUCUCGCCAUCUCUCUCUCUCUCUCUCUCUCUCUCUCUCUCUCUCUCUCUCUCUCUCUCUCUCUCUCCAUCUUUAUCUCUCUUACGCUCACUUAACUUUAAGAUUUGAAGGUGUAUAUAGGAAAUAAUAAUCACUUGGAUGGAAGAAAGUUGUCACAUGUCUAUUUUAGAUUAAUUCAUUUUAUUUCUUAAUAACUAGGGUUCCAAUCUGCAAUCACAUUGGGCAUAUGUGCAAAUUAUACUAAAUAACUAGGUUUCAGUGUUUACUUUCUAUGUCCUGUUGUUCUUCUGUUGUAUUCUGUACAUUCAUGUUGUUUUUUAUUAUUUGAAAUUCUUAGCGGCUUACAUGGAGUGGGUGAUGUUGAUUGUGUUGAUUCUUUAUCUCGAUUCUGAUCAAGAUGCAAGUAAUUUAUAUUGGCAAAUCAAUACAUAUUAAAAUUUUAUUUGUGCUACUACUUACCAGGACUUGUCAACUGCUUUAGUAACAUUGUGAAUAUUAUGCUUUGUGAUGAAGAUAAAAGCCUACUUUUUUACAGGUUGCCGUGAUCUCGGUGGAUCAUGGAUAGGUUUACGACGGCUCCACCCCUGAUGGUAGUUUCUGAUCUCGACCAUACAAUGGUGGGCAACAAGAGUUUACUUACUUUGAUCUAUAGCUGUUAUUAUGUGACUAAUGACUUACUUGGGAAGUUGCUUUGCAGGUUGAUCAUCAUGAUCCUGAAAAUCUAUCUUUGUUAAUGUUUAACUCCCUAUGGGAAGCCAGGUAUCGUGAAGAUUCUUUGCUAGUGUUUUCUACUGGAAGGUCGCUUACAUUGUACAAGCAGCUGAGGAAAGAAAAGCCCAUGCUAACCCCUGAUAUUACGAUAAUGUCUGUUGGAACUGAGAUAACAUAUGGGAAUUCUAUGGUGCCAGAUGAUGGGUGGGUUGAAAUUCUAAAUCAAAAGUGGGACAAGAAAAUUGUCUUAGAGGAAGCAAGCAAGUACCCUGAGCUUACUCUUCAGGUACACUCCGUAUUUUCUGUGUUGUAAAAUUUUAGUAGUCAGAGGUUAGACAGAUGUGCAUCAGCAUAUUAUUAAGUUAACAUUAUCUAUUUAAAUGUAAAAAGAAUUAAUCUGAUAGUCCAAUAUAAAAAUGUUGUAGUUGUGCAUGUGAUCUUAUAUUACUAUGCUAUCUGGGGUUAUGCAGCCCGAAACUGAACAACGACCGCACAAGGUUAGCUUCUAUGUCCAAAAUGACAAGGCACAAGAAGUAUCAUCGGCUCUUUCUGAAUGUUUGGUGAAACAUGGGGUAAGGGUGAAACUUGAACUGCAAUCAUUCAUUUUUGUUACUGUUCCGUGGCAUUUCACAGUGAUUUCGAUAUUGUUCUCUUUCUUUUAUUUCCUUUAACUUUAUAGAAUUUCAUCUUCUGUGUGUUGCUAGUUUAAAAACUCCUUUUCUUAUGAUUUACCUUUGCUAUAUGUAGUUGGAUGUUAAAAUAAUCUACAGUGGAGAGAGAGAUUUGGAUAUAUUGCCACAAGGUGCUGGGAAAGGGCAAGCUCUUGCUUAUUUGCUUAAAAAGUUACAGGUCGAGGAUAAACUUCCUAAAAACACUCUUGCUUGUGGUGACUCUGGUAAUGAUGCUGAACUUUUUAGCAUUCCAGAAGUAUAUGGAGUCAUGGUUAGUGGUUCUUCUACCUCAUCAUCUAUACUUCUUCUUUAUGAGAUUAUAUAUCUGUGUUCAUGGCUGGAAUUUUUUAACCUACAGGUCAGUAAUGCCCAGGAAGAGUUGUUGCAGUGGCAUGCUGCCAAUGCUAAAGACAACCCAAAUAUAAUUCUUGCAGAUGAGAGGUGUGCAGGGGGUAUUAUACAAGCCAUUGGUCAUUUUAGUCUGGGCCCCAACAUAUCACCAAGAGAUAUCAUGGGUCUGUCAGAUACAAAUUUAAAGAAGUUCGAUCCUGCAUACGAAGUAGUUAAAUUUUACUUGUUUUUUGAGAGAUGGAGGCGUGCAGAGGCAGAGGCCAGAAAUUCUGAAAUUUAUUUGUCAAAUCUGAAAGCAGUUUGUGUAUGUUUAUGUUCUUUUGUUUAUCUGCAUUUAAUCACUAUAUAUGUACAAUACUAAUGACACAUAUUUGAACUUUGGAUGUCUCCAUGCCAAUUAUUACUUAAGCUCAGUUACUCAGGUAUUCUGCAGAUUCUUACAUUUAAGAAGGUAGUGGUUUAACUUUUAUAAAAUGCUAAUAUUGCUCUGUAGGAUCCAUGUGGUUAUUUUGUCCACCCAUCUGGUUUUGAAAGGCCUCUUCGCAAUUGUGUAAAUGCAUUAAGAAUUUGUUAUGGAGACAACCAGGGGAAACAAUUUCGGGUUUGGGUGGAUCAAGUUUUCUCUUCUCAGGUUGGUUCAGACACUUGGAUUGUGAGAUUCAAGAAGUGGGAGCUAUCUGGUAAGCUAACUUUUCCCACCUUUUAAUUAUCUUUUUACCCAUCUCUUGUUGCAUUAUCUUCAACAUCUAUAUUAGUCGAUAUUAUGGUUGGCGUUUAUUUUAAUCUAAUUGGAUGAUUUUCAAUUUUGUACUGUGUGAGGUUUGCACGCUGUUAUAUUUCUCAAGUUUUUAGCACAAAUUAUUUAAGUUUGCAUCACCAACAUAAUUAUAUGUGUUGGUCAUAGAAGAUAUUCAUCAAUUUACCUUUAUGUAUGUUGACAAUUGUCACCUUAAAUAGAGAUAAAAUUGAGAACAUAUAAUGAUGAAAAAAAAUGAAUGUUAUAUUUUGAUGAAUAAUUUAUUUUUUCUGUCAGGAACGUUGAUGAAUUUUUAAUUUUAUGUAUCUUACAUCAUUCCUAAAUUAGACGUUCUGCAGUGUAGUAGUAAAAAAUCAUGUGCUCUGAAACUUAGGUCAAGACGACUCCCAAACACUAUAUAUGGUCUACGUAGUAAGAUAAUCCUGAAACGUAAAUAUAUACAGCGAUUGUUAUAAGAUUAGUUAUGCCGACUUGUGUACUUUCUCUGUGAUUAGUAUCCGUGUCAGAGAUAAUGAAUCUAGUAGAUUCUUUAUGAAUUGCCUCGUUGUUAAAGAAUAUUUAUCAGGUGGACACUAAGGGCAUACCAUCUAUUCUGAGUGUAUGGAGGAAUUCAAGUAAAAGGAUAACGAGGUGAUGAUUGAAAAAUAAUUUUUCCAGACUAGGGAUUUUUCUUUCCACGGGCCCUUCCUUCUAUAUCAAAGAUUCCCACACACAACAGCCCUGUAAAAGGAAUGUUUUACUCUUUGGCAAAAUUACAGAAUUACCAAGUUCAUUCAUGAAAAUUUUCUGUAUUUAUGUUAUGAUAUAACAUCCCGUGUGUUCGAUCAUUAUCUCCCUAUUGACGUGGUCACCUUGUGUAGGUGAAGAGCAAUAUGGCUGCCUGACCACAGCUGUGUUAAGUUCAAAGGUAAACUUUAAGGUGUCAAACCACAAGAUUUGAAUUCGCACAGAUAUUUUUGUACCUGAACAUUCUUUUGGUUUCUCUUAGGAUGCAAGUAUUUCAGAAGGGCUCACUUGGCUCCACGUGCAUCAGACAUGGUUGGAUGAAGCCACUCCAAAGGAUCAGUAUGUUUGGUUCUUCUAGCUUGUUGCAAAGGCUAGACUAUCAAUGAUCUGAUCACAUCACAUUUUUUCAUUGUACUUGAAUAAAUAUUACAUGAAAGCUGCAAUGUCCUUGCAUCUGAGGUAAUGCAGUAUUGCCUGAUGAAUAUACGACUUGCCAGUUAUAUUGCAUACAAGCAGGAGCCAUCAGAAGUGCAGUUGCCAUGUUUUCUUAUUAUGGCAGAAUUAUUCAGAAGGAAGAAUGUAGCUUUAUCAGAUGUUUGUUAAACGAUCUGCUAACAAUGUAGCUCACUUCUUAGCAAGGUAUAAUUGUGAUAAUGCUGAUUGUAUUUUCCGAAUGAGCAACGCUCUCAUCCGGAGUUCGUUGAUGUAAUCAUGAACGAUUUGAGAAAUUAAUGAAAAUUUUCUUUUUCGGCAAAAAAUUUCUGGAUGGUUGAUAUAUUCGUAUUACCCAUGUCUAAUAUGAGCUCCAAAGAUAUCUAUAAAUGCCUUUUGUAGAAUUGUGUAUUCUAAAGUUAAGAAAAGACAGAAGCAGCCUAAACUAUAGGGAAAUGAAUGAUCCUAAAUCAAGACUCCUACCUUUUCGCUUUCACUGUAUUAUUAGAACAUAGAUAUAUUUGAAAUCAUUUUUCAAAUUCCAUCAGAUUUCCCAUAUUCAUCUGACUCGUCCUGCCGUGUUUACCCGCGGUCUGACGACCAAACUUCAUUCGCUUAUGCCACAAUCACCUUCCAUCUUUUAAACAUCAGACAUUUAUCAAUUUUCUGAUCAUCAUGUCUACACAGCUCUUUCUCAAUUCCUCUCCGUCUCCGAACAAGUACAAGAAGCUGAUGAGCGGCCGUUCUUUCAGCAACGCCACGCGACCACGGCUUAAUCGUUCUGCUUUCAACCGGAGUCAUUCUUCGCUUAAUCCCUCGUCUAUCGACGGAAGGCAAAUGUUGCUUGCAGAGCAAGAAUUGCUGUCCUCAUCGCAUGCACACAGCCCACGUGGCAAUCGUCGAUUCAACGAGGUUGCAGGGGGGACCACAGCGGAGAUUGCAGCCAUCGCGUGCUGCGCCCCGUUCAGCAUUGCUGAUUUACUCGUGCUGGCAGUGUACAAGGUUCCGACAGGUCUGUGUAGGAAGGCGUUGAGGGAAAAGAGGCGGCGGAGGCUAAUGAGGAAGGGGAGCUUGCUCGUGCCCCUGCGCGGACACGAUCAUACGUGUGACUGCGGUCACUGUUAUGACAUGGACGCGGAGUUUCAGACAGGAGAUCCGGUGAUCAUGGCAGAGGCUAUGGAGAAUGAUGGCGACAUGAAGCAGCUGGAGAAGGAGAUGUGGGAGCAGUUUUAUGGAACUGGCUUCUGGAGGAGUCAUUCCAGGGCUGUCAGUGUCGGCAUUUGAUUUUGCCUUGAGAGUCAGACCGCCUGCUAUGAAUGUUUCAUGUAUACGUGCAGUGACGGAAUCAGAAAUUCCAUCGCGGCUAAGAUAUUUUCAAACGGAAUCUCUGAUAAAAGAUUUUUGAAUAUUUCAAUUUUCUCUGGAUUAAAAGAAAAUAUUUUUUGAUUUUUGAGGAUCGGACGGGUGGAAUUUUGGUUAGUCUAAUAACCUUCCCGUAUCCUGUGAUUGUAUAUAUGAAUGUAUACUUCUUUAUAAAGUAUAAUUAAGCCUACAUAUUAUAACGAAAAUGGGGAGCUGUAUGUCUUUCGUCUCCAUAAGUGUUAGUUGUUGUGAGUACGCUAGAUUGGAGUUUAUUUGGAUGAUGAAUACUGGAUUGUUUUUCUGUUCCCCGAGUUGUUCUCGUCGUAUAUUCUCUAGUCUUAAUCUUACUUGGAUCAGCUAAUUGUUCGUUUUUGUUUAUGAGUUCUGCCAGCAGACAUGCAUGAUAGCCCAUGUUCAUGUUCGGCUCGAUAAAAGUUCGAUUUCUUACCGGCAUAAAUAUAUACACAGAAUAAUUUGAGCCGGUUCAAAGAUUUAGUGAUCGUAUUUAAUUUUUAUAGUAAUUUACCUGCAGAAUGUAUAUAAUUUCCGAGAUUACGAAUAAAAAGGUGAUCUCAGUGUAAUUCAAUCUUUAACCGAGUCCUCUAACUGUUUAAGGAUGAAGUAGAAUCUCUUCCUGGUACACACCUGUAAAAUAAUAAAAUAUCAAGUUUGAAUGCAGAGUAGAUGAGUAAUACUGUGACUAUCAGGGACAGCCUAACAGUGAGCUUGGCGGUGGCUUUGAAAUGAACAUCAAACGGCCAUUAUUUUAAGGGAGAGUCGUCAGCGAAUGAUACAGGGCGCUGGAUUAUUAUUCUCUUUUUUGAAUAUUAUGACAUUGAAAAGCGAGACGAAGAAGAUGAAGUAAUUCGCUAUGGUGAAACGUAAAUUUUGAUUAUUAAGCGAGAGAUUUGAUGAGUAAAGUUUGAAUUUUAUUACUCUCUCCGUCUCAUUUUAGUUGUCACAUUUCUAUUUUUUGACCAAAAAUUAUAAAUCACUCACUCGUUAUUUUAAAAAACUGAAAAUUACAUCUUAAAGUAGAUUGAAAACUAUUUCUGAUGACAUAUUUUUUUUAUUUUUUCAAUUGAUAAAAUAUUAAUAAAUAUCAGUCAAACGUUAGUCAAUUUGACCGGCACAAAACCAAAUGUGACAACUAAAAAGGGACGGAGGUAGUAUAUAAACUUCAGCUUGACAAGUAUUUUAAAUCUCCGAUUAAUUACCAAUCAAUCUGAUUAAUCCCCGACUGAUUCAAUUAAAGUCAUGCUAAUUUUGUGACUUCACCGAUUAAGUUUGAUGCCCGCUUUUUACACGCUUUUUACAACAUUGUCUCUAUAUAUAUUCAUCAAAAGUCAUGUUAAUUAUAAAAAGACAGACAUUUAAUACAUUAUUUAUGAUAUUAACUUAAUAUACUCCAAUUCGAAAAAACAGUACAUAAAAAUCAUAGAUAAUAUACAGAUAUCAUCUGGGCAAGAUUAUUUAAAAAAAUGAUAUGAAAAAUUAAAAGUAAACGCAUCUGUGAAUAUAUUCAAAAUCAUACUUUAUCUUGAUUCACUGAAUCAUAAAUAUUUAAGACAAAUAUGAUAUUUAAAUAAUAUAAAGUACUAAUUUUAUCCCAACACAUAAAAUUCCAAUAAAAAUAUUUUUUUUUAAAUAUCAUUAGGCUUGCUCGUGAUAUAUAUUUGUAUAAUCUAAUUCAUAUCCGGCGGGUCUACUUUAAUUUAGCAGGGGUGAUUGGCAUUAGUUUAAAAAAAAACAUAUCAUAAAGAUUAGAUACUCGUUUGGUUGGUUUGAUAUGGGUUGUCAAUUAUUGUGAAAGGGAAAACAAAGUGAGUUGUUACUUUUUGUAUUACUAUAAAACCAAACAUUAUACAAGCGCAAUAAAGAANAGGGAAAGUUAGGAAGCAAUUGCUACACCGACACAUACCACAAUACGAAGAAAUGGCCACGUUACUGUAUGGCCUGUUUUUGCUUUGGCUCUCUACAAAGCCAAUCAUCCCAAAAUUAUAAUAAUGCUGCCACUAUUAUAAAUGCAUUAAACAUGAUCUUUUUGUAUUCCUUUUCCAAGUUGGAGAUAUGUCCCCACCCUCCAUUGUUGCGGUAGAGCAUCUCCGGUUAAAAAUGAAUGAAUAUGUAAGAUAUCUUUUUCUGAUAAUACCUAUUAAAUUGAUUGAUUAAUAUUUUGAAAAAUGAUAUAUUGUUACUAUUUCAAAUUAUUUUAAAUAGAAUAAAUUAUUUUAAUAUAAUAAUAGAUAAUAGACAAUAUAGUCAAUAUUAUUGGGUUGACCAUAUUUUGAGAUAAUGAUAAUAUCGAUUGGAAUGAACAAAAUCCUAUAUAUUAUAAAUCUAUAAUUUAUAAUCACAAUAUAAUUUAUUGAAUGUUAGCUAAAAGUUCUGAAGGGUAAAAACCU
rnacentral:lncRNA from 1 species